CUGACUCCCAAGAUGAUGGUAUGAGGAGGUGGGGCCUUUCAGAAGUGAUCAGGUCAUGAGGAUGGAGCUGUCACAAAUGGGAUUCGUGCCCUUAAAAAGAGGUCCCAGCCGGGCGCGGUGGCUCGCGCCUGUAAUCCCAGCACUUUGGGAGGCUGAGGUGGGUGGAUCAUCUGAGGUCAGGAGUUCAAGACCAGCCUGACCAAUAUGGUAAAACCCUGUCUCUACUAAAAAUACAAAAAAUAGCCAGACGUGGUGGCAUGUGCCUGUAGUCCCAGCUACUCAGGAGGCUGAGACAGGAAACUUACUUGAACCCAGGAGGCAGAGGUUGCAGUGAGUUGAGAUCGUGCCACUGUACUGCAGCCUGGGUGACAGAGUGAGAGUCUGUCUCAAAAAAUAAAUAAGAGGCCCCAGAGAAAUCCUGCCAUGUGAGGUUACAGUGAGAAGAUGGCCAUGAGGAACAGGUCCUCACCAGACAUGGAAUCUGCAGACACGUUGGUCUUAGACUUCCCAGCCUCUGGAACCAAUUCUGCCCCAACAUUAUCUGGGGAGCCCCCCCAGAUGCUCCAGGGAGACUGUGAAGACCCUCAGGCUCCCCGACGCCUCGUGUGCUCCUUCUGUCAGGGUGUUUGAACCAGAGCAACGCCAUCUUGAAUAGGGGCUGGGUAAAGUAAGGCUGAGACCUACUGGGCUGCAUUCCCAGACGAUUAAGGCAUUCUGAGUCACAGGAUGACACAGGAGGUCGGCACAAGAUACAGGCCAUAAAGACCUUGCUGAUAAAACAGGUUGCAGUAAAGAAGCCGGUCAAAACCCACCAAAACCAAGAUGGCGACGAGAGUGACCUCUGGUCGUCCCCACUGCUACGCUCCCACCAGCACCAUGACAGGUUACAGAUGCCAUGACAAUGACAGAAAGUUACCCUCUAGGAUUUAAAAGGGGGAGGCAUGAAUAACUCCACCCCUUGUUUGGCAUAUCAUCAAGUAAUAACUAUAAAAAUGGGCAACCAGGCUGGGUGCGGUGGCUCACGCCUGUAAUCCCAGCACUUUGGGAGGUCAAAGCAAGCGGAUCAACUGAGGUCAGGAGCUCGAGACCAGCCUGGCCAACAUGGUGAAACCCUGUCUCUAGUAAAAAUACAAAAAUUAGCUGGGCUUGGUGGCACACGCCUAUAGUCCCAGCUACUGGGGAGGCUGAGGCAGGAGAAUCGCUUGAACCUGGGAGGUGGAGGUUGCAGUGAGCCAAGAUCACGCCACUGCACUCCAGCCUGGGCAACAGAGCAAGACUCCAUCUCAAAAACAAAACAAAACAAAACAACAACAACAACAACAACAAAACCCAGCAGCCCUUGGGGCGGUUCUGUCUAUGGAGUAGCCAUUCUUUAUUCCUUUAGCUUCUUAAUAAACUUGCUUUCAUUUUAUGGACUCACCCCAAAUUCUUUCUUGUGCAAGAUCCAAGAACCCUCUCUAGGGGUCUGGAUCUGGACCCCUUUCCAGUAACAAUUAUCUGCAAAAGCACUUUACAGCAACAGAAAACCUGACCCAAACUGGAUAAAGCAAAAAGGGAACUUUUUGACUCAUGAAACUUGAGUCCAGCAACAAUGCCUUCAGGCAAGGCUUGAUCCAGGGCUCACAGGCUAUAAGAGAAUCUGGUUUUCCUCUCUGCAUGUCUGGCUCUGCUUCCUUCGUAGUGGAGCCGUUCCCAGGAAGGCACUCCACUUGGCUGAAGGCAGCAGCUUAGGGCUUCUAUUCGGUGUUCAUAUCUUGCUGAAAAAGACCCACUUCUUCCCGACCCCUGACCCUGCCAAUCAAGUCUUAGGAACUGGGUCUCAUUGGCCCAGAUGGGCCUGAAGGGGGCCAUUUGUCUGUUCUUGAACCAAUCAACACAAGGGGCAAGGAGGGAAGAAAAGGGGUGUGUUGAUAAGCUUCAGCCAAUCAAGGCCCAAGCUUAGAGCUAGGAGUGGGGGUCAGUCCCACCUAAACCACAAGCCUGAAGAAU
rnacentral:lncRNA from 10 species